GACGAACGCUGGCGGCGUGCUUAACACAUGCAAGUCGAACGAUGAACCAGGGCUUGCCCUGGGGAUUAGUGGCGAACGGGUGAGUAACACGUGGGCAACCUGCCCCUGACAUCGGGAUAACUCCGGGAAACCGGGGCUAAUACCGGAUACAUCCGCAAGGAGGAAAGGCUUGCUGCUGAGGGAGGGGCCUGCGGCGUAUUAGCUUGAUGGUAGGGUAACGGCCUACCAUGGCGAUGAUGCGUAGCUGGUCUGAGAGGACGAUCAGCCAGACUGGGACUGAGACACGGCCCAGACUCCUACGGGAGGCAGCAGUUCAGAAUCUUGCACAAUGGGCGAAAGCCUGAUGCAGCCAUACCGCGUGCGCGAAGAAGGCCCUCGGGUCGUAAAGCGCUGUCAGAGGGAAAGAUUAUGACGGUACCCUCAAAGGAAGCCACGGCUAAUUACGUGCCAGCAGCCGCAGUAAGAC
rnacentral:rRNA from 1 species